GGGCGGGCCAAAACCUUGCCAAGUCGGAGCGGCGCGCGGGGGCAACCCUGGCGGCGAGCGGCGGACGGGUGAGGAAUGCGUCGGAACGUGCCCAGUAGUGGGGGAUAGCCCGGCGAAAGCCGGAUUAAUACCGCAUACGACCUAAGGGUGAAAGCGGGGGACCGCAAGGCCUCGCGCGAUUGGAGCGGCCGAUGUCAGAUUAGCUUGUUGGUGGGGUAAAGGCCUACCAAGGCUGCGAUCUGUAGCUGGUCUGAGAGGAUGAUCAGCCACACUGGGACUGAGACACGGCCCAGACUCCUACGGGAGGCAGCAGUGGGGAAUUGUUCGCAAUGGGCGCAAGCCUGACGACGCAACGCCGCGUGGAGGAUGAAGAUCUUCGGGUCGUAAACUCCUUUCGAUCGGGACGAAUGGCUGGAGACCUAAUACGUCUUCAGAGUGACGGUACCGAGAGAAGAAGCCCCGGCUAACUCCGUGCCAGCAGCCGCGGUAAUA
rnacentral:rRNA from 1 species